UACGAAGGGGCUAGCGUUGCUCGGAAUCACUGGGCGUAAAGGGCGCGUAGGCGGCGUUUUAAGUCGGGGGUGAAAGCCUGUGGCUCAACCACAGAAUGGCCUCGAUACUGGGACGCUUGAGUAUGGUAGAGGUUGGUGGAACUGCGAGUGUAGAGGUGAAAUUCGUAGAUAUUCGCAAGAACACCGGUGGCGAGGCGGCCUGCU
rnacentral:rRNA from 1 species